UUGAAUGAAAAGAAUAAAAGAAAUAGGAAGAAAAUAAAGGGAGAAUUAAUAAAAGAGAGACACAAGAUUUGGGCCAAAAAUCCCCAGCCCAAACACAAACUCGUCCAAACCCACACCUAAUUCAGCCCAUUACCAGUCCAAUUCAGUCCGUCUCCAGCCUCCAUCAAACGACGCCGUUUCAGGCGUCUCAAUCUGGAUCGUUGAUCUCAACUGAUCAAACGGUCCCAAAGCCUUGACCAAACCCGACCCCGACCCGUCAUUACAAUACCCGGACUGACCGAGUACUACUUCAAACGACACCGUUUGAGUUAAGUGAACUGAUCUGGACCCUCUAUCUCUCUUGAUGGAACGACCAAGAUCAAACCACCCCCCACUAUAUAAAUGAAACCUCCUACCCAACCCUCCCAGUCCAAACCCAUGUUCAUCAUCGUCUCUCAGAGACGAAGCCCUUCCCUCAAACCCUAGCCGCCAUGGCAUUCUUUUGCCUGAAACCCGGCGACAACGACGCCGUCGGCCACCAAAAUAACACCCUUGAACCUCCUAACCAUCCCCAAUCCAAAUCCCUUACCCAUUUUGCUCGAAUUAACCUACAUCUUCUCGAAACUUCAAUCGAAGAUUCGAGCAAAACUUGAAUCCCACCCCAACCAGUUCCAAACUCAUACCAAGGCACCUCCUGACCACCCUCAUUACGGAUCUGUUGACCGCUUGCCUUGAAUCAACCUCCAGCUUCUCGAAUCUUCGAUCGAAGAUUCGAGCAGGACCUAGAUCUACCACAACUAGUCCCAAACUCAUACCAGACAUGUUCAUGACCUCCCUCGUCACCAAACCACCGUCGGUUUGGUUCGAAUCUGGCUAGAAACACUCGAAGCCCAAAUCGAAACAUAAAAACCCUAGAAAAACCAAAACUGGUUUCUGUCCGAAGUUCAAGAUGUUUUGGGUGUUUAACUGACCUUAGUCGAAGUGUUCUCAGUUGAGAACACUCGAUUAAGGUCCGCUUUACCUCAAAAAAGUUCAAAUUUGAGUCGAUUCGAAUCCGUCUGUACUUUGUUCCAUUUAAGGUACACAUUCUAAAAAUCUGUGUUGAUGUAAGCUCGAAUUUGAAGUUGAAGUUGAGAUGAAAUGGGAAGGCAGCCAUUAGUUCUAUUUGACAUGACUGUAUAAAUAAACUGAAAUUGUUUCUUUAUUACCUAGAUUAUCAUUCGACAUGUCUUGAACGUAUAUAAGCAUAUCAUCUCGAGUAGUGGGUGUAUUUAGUUUUAUGAUAGGUUAAUAGGAUAGUUAGAUUAAUUCUUGAGUUUUAUGUUUCUUUGGAAAUAGUCCCUUUUGGUAAUUUCAGUAGUGGUAAUUUCAGUU